rnacentral:tRNA from 1 species
UGGUAAGUAGCUCAAUGGUAGAGCAUCCGGCUGUUAACCGGACGGUUGUAGGUUCGAGUCCUACCUUACCAGCCA